AUUGAACGCUGGCGGCAUGCCUAACACAUGCAAGUCGAACGGCAGCACAGUCUAGCUUGCUAGACGGGUGGCGAGUGGCGAACGGGUGAGUAACGCGUAGGAAUAUACCUUGAAGUGGGGGACAACCUGGGGAAACUCAGGCUAAUACCGCGUAAUCUCUUCGGAGGGAAGCUGGGGACCACAAGGCCUGGCGCUUUAAGAUUAGCCUGCGUCCGAUUAGCUAGUUGGUGGGGUAAGGGCCUACCAAGGCGACGAUCGGUAGCUGGUCUGAGAGGAUGAUCAGCCACGCUGGGACUGAGACACGGCCCAGACUCCUACGGGAGGCAGCAGUGGGGAAUAUUGGACAAUGGGGGCAACCCUGAUCCAGCAAUGCCGCGUGUGUGAAGAAGGCCUGAGGGUUGUAAAGCGCUUUCGGCGGGGAGGAGGACAGGUUGGUUAAGAGCUGAUUUGUUGGACGUUACCCGCAUAAGAAGCACCGGCUAACUCCGUGCCAGCCGCCGCAGUAAAAC
rnacentral:rRNA from 1 species